GUGGCCGAGAACCGCCACUGCUGCAAAUAAAAAAGAAUAGGGGGAAAAAAAGAAGUCCGAACAGAAGUUAAUGAUGCAGGUAGGAAAAAACACAACAGAAGUUAACGACACACAAAAAAAGUGGCGUUCUUUUUUAUCUGCAGUGGGCUUUGGUUUCUUUUUUUGCGUCGUUAACUUCCGUUGUGACUUCAUUUUUCUGCCUUCUUUUUUAUUUGCAGCGGUGGCGUUUCUCGGCCAC